UACGUAGGGGGCUAGCGUUGUCCGGAAUCACUGGGCGUAAAGCGCGUGUAGGCGGUCCGGUAAGUCCGCUGUGAAAGUCGGGGGCUCAACCCUCGAAUGCCGGUGGAUACUGUCGGGCUAGAGUGCGGAAGAGGCGAGUGGAAUUCCUGGUGUAGCGGUGAAAUGCGCAGAUAUCAGGAGGAACACCAAUUGCGAAGGCAGCUCGCUGGGACGUAACUGACGCUGAGACGCGAAAGCGUGGGGAGCAAACAGG
rnacentral:rRNA from 1 species